UACGUAGGGGGCUAGCGUUGUCCGGAAUCAUUGGGCGUAAAGAGCGCGUAGGCGGCCAGAUAAGUCCGGUGUGAAAGUCACAGGCUCAACCUGUGAAUGCCGCUGGAAACUGUCUGGCUAGAGUCUGGUAGGGGGAUCUGGAAUUCCUGGUGUAGCGGUGGAAUGCGCAGAUAUCAGGAGGAACACCGGUGGCGAAGGCGGAUCUCUGGGCCUUACCUGACGCUCAGGCGCGAAAGCUAGGGGAGCGAACUGG
rnacentral:rRNA from 1 species